UACGUAGGGUGCAAGCGUUGUCCGGAAUUAUUGGGCGUAAAGAGCUCGUAGGCGGUUUGUCGCGUCGAAUGUGAAAACCCGGGGCUCAACCCCGGGCCUGCAUUCGAUACGGGCAGACUAGAGUUCGGUAGGGGAGUCUGGAAUUCCUGGUGUAGCGGUGAAAUGCGCAGAUAUCAGGAGGAACACCGGUGGCGAAGGCGGGACUCUGGGCCGAUACUGACGCUGAGGAGCGAAAGCGUGGGGAACAAACAGG
rnacentral:rRNA from 1 species